AGCGGAGAGGGAAACGUGGGGCAGGGCUCUGCCCCGAGAGAGAAGAGGGAAGGGGGGGGUCUAUGCGCCGGGGACACCUGCCGAGCAUGCCUAAUUAUUAUAAAGCAGCCAGCUCCACUGCAGCUGCCCCAGAGCCCUCAGAUAGGGGACUAAGGAAGUAUGACAAGGAUGAUGCUGGGAACAGCUUCUUUCUGGUUCCUGUGGCAAUCAUUGCUCCAGAGGAAUGGAGACUCUGGCCCAACUUCCUUGGGAUUUUCCAAAUACACGCUACUCUGUACAUACGCUGUGCCAGCGGCUCAUGAGCAAAUCCUAUGAUGGAAGAAAGAAAUUCAGGAAUCAAUACUGCAGAUGGAAUUUCCACUAUAUUUGCUAAUUUGAAAGUACAGUGAAACACAAUUUCCAAGGAUCAUUUGUUGGUACAAGCAAGGAGCAGUAGUCACCCGGAGAGUCCAUUUAGGAAUGUGAGAAUAAUUUAAUGCAACUACAAGGUACAUAGCCAGUGUACCUUGUG